GAUGAACGCUGGCGGCGUGCCUAAUACAUGCAAGUCGAGCGAACAGACGAGGGGCUUGCUCCUCUGACGUUAGCGGCGGACGGGUGAGUAACACGUGGAUAACCUACCUAUAAGACUGGGAUAACUUUGGGAAACCGGAGCUAAUACCGGAUAAUAUAUUGAACCGCAUGGUUCAAUAGUGAAAGACGGUUUUGCUGUCACUUAUAGAUGGAUCCGCGCCGCAUUAGCUAGUUGGUAAGGUAACGGCUUACCAAGGCGACGAUGCGUAGCCGACCUGAGAGGGUGAUCGGCCACACUGGAACUGAGACACGGUCCAGACUCCUACGGGAGGCAGCAGUAGGGAAUCUUCCGCAAUGGGCGAAAGCCUGACGGAGCAACGCCGCGUGAGUGAUGAAGGUCUUCGGAUCGUAAAACUCUGUUAUUAGGGAAGAACAAAUGUGUAAGUAACUAUGCACGUCUUGACGGUACCUAAUCAGAAAGCCACGGCUAACUACGUG
rnacentral:rRNA from 1 species